GACACUGAAGACUGUUGCCUUGCUGAAAACCUCUGACUGAUGCUCUAGAACAGGACACUUAAGAUUGUGUCUGCUGUGGGAUGCUAUUUCUCUGGUGAUUUGCUUAAACAAUCUGCAUUGCUGUAUUUCUACUUUCUACGUGAUCGCAUCUCAGGUAUCCUAAGGAGAACAGGCUUCUUGUAUUCUUACCAACGUAAGAAUAAAUACAGCAAAAUACAGCAUUUGAAAGUAAGCCAGCUCGGCUUCUGAGCAUUUCAGUUAACUUUGACAAAACCCUUUUACCUAAAUUGUGAUCUUCCUGGGUCUGCCUGCAUUCAAGUACUUGUUGCUUUAUUCUGUUUAUUAAAGAACAUAUUUUUUGUUAAUAAUACAAAGAAGAUUAGCUAUGCUUGUUAAAAGGAAAAUUGAGGAAAGAAGAAUCUGUUAGGUGCAAGAAAAUGACAUCAGAAAUGACAGUUGAUUGUGUGAUAAUUUAGGAAAAUGGAAAACACUGAAAAAUGUACAUCUGCAUGAAUGUUGGUGAAUGUAAUCUCUAGAGCACCUACUAUGUGUCAGGUGUUUUUCCAUAUGUCAUCUAAUUUAAUUCCAUAAAUAAAGUAUUGAUGCUCCCAUUUUAAAGAUGGUCAAAUUCAAGCUCGGGUAAAUUGUCAAAAUUGCCACAGCUAGGACGUGGUAUCCCCAGAAUUGUUUCCUGGUACCCUGACUUUCAAAGCUAUGAUGUUGUUCUGUGUCACUAUGCUGUCUUGGCGUGUGGCAGCAGUGUUCAUGAGCUGUCGUCUUCCAAGGAAAUGAUAAGUUCUGUUCUGUGACUUCUGCUUAAGAAAAACAAAACAAAACAAACAAACAAACAAAAAAACAAUGUGUCUUGAAAGAAUUCCAUUAAAAUUACAUAUAUAUUUUUGGGUGUUAAGAAAUGAACACUUAAACUAUUUUAAAAAUUAAUUAUGUGGAACACCUGAGUCCACAUGAGGAGAGAGAAAUUAACAUAAUCCUGGUAUCCCAGUUUCAGGAAACUUGACUUCUGGAUUGGGUUUCCUCAAAUUGAAACCCAGUAAAAGACCACCAUGAGAUACCAGCAUGCAUUCAUCCAUUGAUUCGCUUCACUUAAGGGUGUUGAAUGACUAUUGUACACACGGAAAUAUGGCCAUGGCUCCUGAGAAUUCUAUUAGGUUGUGAAAACAAAGCAAAAUGCAAAAAGUUUUAAAAACUUAAUUUCAGUAUAAUUUGAAUAGAUGCUACAAACAUGCCCCUCCCCCUCCAUGUCAUCCUUCACAUUGUCACCUAAUCUGCUGUUGUCACUUCCUGGUUUCAAGCCUCUGACAAAUGCCAUUGUGUGUUCAGUGACUCUGGGUCCUUCAGAGCCUGUUACCUUCCUGCCUUUUCAGUCUCAUGUGGAGCUGUCCCCACCCCUCCCUGGAGCUCAGCCAUCCUGUCCUGCUUAUCCUUCCUUCUUCAGGACAGUUGCUUUUCCAUUUCUUU